rnacentral:lncRNA from 1 species
UAAUACAACUUACAUAAUGUAUUAAUAAUUUUGCCUCUAUUGGUUAUCAGAUGAAAUUAACUUUGCAUGUUGCAUAUUACCAUGCCAUCUGAAGUUAAUAUCUUUAUCUUUUGUUCUUUUUCCAGGUCUUCACCAUAGAGUAUUCUCUAAUAUGCAAAAUUUCAGAUUACAAGAAGCUUUAUAGAGCAUUCUCUAUUUUGGGUAUAGUUUUUAGUUAUAGUAUGUAUUUAGUAUUUAAAGAUAAAGAUAUACACUGAUUCUAUAGGUAAAAGUAGGUUUCUCAACUUCCCAAUAAAAAAGAGACAGUUUAUGGAGCAUUGGACAAAUGGGUAGCUUGGGAGACUGAGUUUCCAUUGAUUGCAGCUGCAAAAGCUUUACAAAUUUUCAAGAAGAGGAGCCAAUGAUUGCGUGUUAUUCAAGUAUAUUCAGUCUAUUGGUAUUCUUACUUUGUAUUUUCCAGCUUCUAAAAUACAUUCAUUGAUGCAGGGAAGCUUUAUAUGUUCAAUAAUUUUCCAUUAAUAUAUAUUAUAUUAAAAUAGCCUUGUAUGAUCAGUAU